ensembl:lncRNA
GCCCAGGCUAUCUCUGGUCUCAUUACAAUGUUCCCAUGAUCAUCAAAAGCUCCUAUUGAAUCUGUUCUAGAAAGCAUCACUGGUCCCCUGCUCUGUAGCUCUUUUGGCAGACCAGGGGGUUGAUGUAGAAGGCAGAGCUGGAAAUGAAGCAGUUACCACCAUUUGUACUCUAAUGUUUCUUGUGGCUACCGGGACGGUCAGACGUAAAGGCCAGAGCAGAUGUCUUUAGACUCAGAAACACAGGGGAAUGGGAUGAAGAGCGAUCGUACAAAGCAGAUGCAGCUACCUGGAUCGUGAUGGUUCAUCCUGGCGGAUCCCCCCAGUCACCCAGCCUCCAUCAUGGCAGAUAAAUCGGUACUUCCAGCUUCUUCUCUUCCUAAGUCAGGCGAGCAGUAACUCCGUCUGUAUUCAGGACGGAGCAGCGGCACGUACCGGACUGGGCAGUCUGCAGCGGGACGCAGCGCCUUGCUCCGGCCGGCGGCUGCUACCAGGGGUGCAGCAGAGCAGAGACCCCCAGAGGGAAGGCUGUGCUCCGCUCCUUGCUUCGCGUCAGAAUUCCCCUCAUUCCCCCCAGCGGGCAGUGGGCACGUGGGACUAUUUUUAACCUGGGUUUAUUUUUGCAGUCUUCCCAACGUUGCGGAGAGCUCGGGGUGACUGCGGAGCAGCGCCGUGAUUCCACCUGCAGCCCCCCAGCCCAGGGGACGUGAAGCCCAGGUCCGUCCCCGUGCUGCCUCUGCAGAAGUGUCACCUCUCCCAUGACACAGCCGUUUCCAGGGAAUAUCCCCUUCCCCAUCCCCAAGCGAAGCAGCAGCUAAUUAGGAGUGCUCUUGCAUUGCAUCGCCUGGUCCCGAGCUGUUAGCUAGCUGAUGAGCUGCUAAAUGCUUCUUUAUUUUUUGCUGCUGUAAGAGAUUAACCUAUGGCUUCAGUGGCAGAGACCCCGCAGCAGAGGCUGCAUGGAGGGGGAGGGACGCAGAACAGCACCCGCACCGGUGCCCACCCCGCUGCCGGCAGAUGAUGGACACAGAGCGUGGGGGUGGAUACGGUGCUGUAACCGCGCUGGGGAUCAGCGU